rnacentral:rRNA from 1 species
CCUACGGGUGGCAGCAGUGGGGGAUAUUGCACAAUGGGGGGAACCCUGAUGCAGCGACGCCGCGUGGGUGAAGGAGUGCUUCGGCAUGUAAAGCCCUAUCGGCAGGGAAGAAACAAGACGGUACCUGACUAAGAAGCCCCGGCUAACUACGUGCCAGCAGCCGCGGUAAUACGGAGGGGGCGAGCGUUUUCCGGAUUCACUGGGUGUAAAGGGAGCGUAGACGGGCAUGGAAGCCAGGGGUGAAAGUCCGGGGCCCAACCCCGGGAUUGCACUUGGAACUGGAAGGCUUGAGUGCGGGAGGGGUAGGCGGAAUUCCUGGUGUAGCGGUGAAAUGCGUAGAUAUCAGGAGGAACUCCGGUGGCGAAGGCAGCCUGCUGGACCGCCACUGACGUUGAGGCUCGAAAGCGUGGGGAGCGAACAGGAUUAGAUACCCUUGUAGUC